UACGAAGGGGGCAAGCGUUGUCCGGAUUUAUUGGGCGUAAAGAGCGUGUAGGCGGCUUUACAGGUCCGUUGUGAAAACUCGAGGCUCAACCUCGAGACGCCGGUGGAAACCGUAAGGCUAGAGUCCGGAAGAGGAGAGUGGAAUUCCUGGUGUAGCGGUGAAAUGCGCAGAUAUCAGGAGGAACUCCCGUGGCGAAAGCGGCUCUCUGGGACGGUACUGACGCUGAGACGCGAAAGCGUGGGGAGCAAACAGG
rnacentral:rRNA from 1 species